AACUUUCAACAACGGAUCUCUUGGCUCACGCAUCGAUGAAGAACGCAGCGAAAUGCGAUAAGUAAUGUGAAUUGCAGAAUUCAGUGAAUCAUCGAAUCUUUGAACGCACCUUGCGCUCUCUGGUAUUCCGGAGAGCAUGCCUGUUUGAGUGUCA
rnacentral:rRNA from 1 species